AGCGAAGAAUGUUAUCGAAGGGAAUACCAAUCUUUGAUGCUAAAUCGCACGCUCCAGUACCACAACGACCAAGAGCCCCAAUAACCAGAAUACGAGGAUACUGGUUGUUAUUCUUUUUCAAAGCUAAACGUACUUGACGAGCAACAUGGCGAACCAAAGAUUUUUCGUUGGGGAACGGACGGAUAGCAGGGAAUUGUUUGUUAGGAUGCAAUAAUUGAUGUGCCCAAACUAAACAUGAGAUAGCUGAUCCAGCAAAACCAGCGUGGUAACCAAAAGCGGCAACACGUCUGCCAUUGUCAUCUUGCAAAAAUUCCAAAUCAUAUAGAAGACCAUUGCCAGCGGGGAAUCGGGACAAGACUUCACGCCAACCUUCCUGGUUUUUGUAGCAAUGAGCAAAUUGAAUAUGAGUAUGCUUCAAAGGACUGUUAUCAUUUUCCGGAAGCUCUUUGAGACCAAUAAUGUACGCGUCCUUAGGUGCAUGUCGCCAUGAGCCCUCAGGAACCAUGGGGAAACCAAGGCGCUCAAAUUCUUUGUCCUUGAAAGCACGUUGGGAAGAGCGCUCAAUGGUAAUUUGAAAUCCAGCAUCGGCGAGUAUCUUGGCAGUUCUAGGAGUC